UGGGACAAGGGUGCUGAGCUCCUUGUAAAAUCAGCCCCCAUGUGAGCAUGUUCUCAAGGCAUGUACAGUAGCUGGGGAACUGGGUGCUCGUGCACUAACACAGCUCUGCUAUUUGCAGGGGAUGGUGUUAAUUCAGAGAUCUGUCCUUCAAAGCAAGGGAAUGAUGAGGUUGUGCUAAGAUGGAAGAAGGAACCAGAUGAGGGAAGAUUAACCUUUCGCUGUCCACAAUUCUUUCCCUCUUAUCGUGGAGGAUUCGGUAACCCACCCCCCUCCAAUCCAGCCUAUCUGUCUGAAUUGCUGAAAGCAUAAUGCUCACAUAUGAGAGAUAAAAAGUGCCCACUGGUCCUGCUCUGUUUGCCAUCAAGAAUGAGCUGCCGGGACUAGGAAUGUUUCCCAGACGGGAGGUGAGGAGCCAUCUGAAUGUAGCAGCAAAGCAUGAGCUCCUGAAGGAGAAAAAGAUAAAAGAAAAAAAGAAAGAAAGAAGCAGAGCAACACAGUUCUUCAUUUCUUCUAAGUGCAAAACCAGUAGUUUGAAGGCCAGCUCAAGGCACUAAUGAUCCCUCCUGUGGCCAGCGAGGGUCCCCCUCCAGCGAUGUGUUUCUCAGAUAGAUGUGUAGGAUGAAAUAAGACGCUGGUGCUAGGACCUAGAGGCAUCUUGUCCAAUCUGUUUCGUUGCUUGUGUUUGUCGCCGGUUCAGUCUCUGAGAGGUUCAGGGACAAUAUUUGCAGCCAGAACCAUCAGGCUUUGUCAUUAACAGCUCCCCACAAAAUCCACACCAGCCCGCGUGACCUGGAACUCGUUUCUGGCAGCGAUACCUCCCAACCCUUGAAGAUGGCAAGGCAGACAAAAUGGUCCAGACUCAGGAUAAGAAGCAGCAGAUGCUGACACGUACUGAUGUGCAAAAAGUCCUCUAUCUGAGCUGAGUACAUUUCUAACUUUGCUCUAAUAACCAUCACCUGAUUCAUGUCAGACCAGUAACAUUUAAAUCAAGUUUUUUGUGCCAUUUAGGCAGAUAUUCUGUAAAUACAGGGAGAAUAGGUCAUUUCUGGAAUGAAGGGGAAUGGCUGCCUCCCUUAUAUGUAUCAGUGACUGCGUAGUAUGUAUGAGAAAAUUAAAGAGGAUCCCCUGAGCAGAUCUUGCAUGGAGGCUCAGUGACCUUUCCUCUCUCAGGAGGGUGGUCUCUUCAGUGGGAUAUGUUUGAAAUACAGCAACAUUGUAGUGAGAAUGUGGAAUUUAACUUGAUGCACGAGGGUGGAGCCGUGAGAGCUAAUGAAGGAGCUGUAUCUAGCGAAGAUAAAGUCCCAAUCACCAGUAAGAGAUGACUGUAAAACAUGCACAAUUCCCCAUCCUUAAAACUCUCCCUAAUUGCAAAUCUGCUCAUUGUUUUAACUUAUCUCUGCCAGCGCUGUGCUGAAUUAGUCCUUUGGAGUCCCUGAAUGGGAUCAAGGGAAGAGAAGAGGAAAGGAAGGAUGGGAAUGAGAACGAAUAAGAAACACAAGAAAGCAAGAUAGCCAGAGAAAAGGAAAGGGGGGGGGGGAACUUAAGCAUAAUUGCCCUUUGGCUUCCUAUGAAAUUGUAAAAGCUUUUCAACACCCUUGCUGAACCAGCAAUGAGAACAUUUUCCACAUCCCUGCUGCCUGCGAGAUGUCUGGCCUGGUGCUGUGGGGGAAAGGAAAGAAGUGGCUCAGCAAGAAUUCACCUCCCGUAGUCAGAUGCUUUUCCAGUGUGUGUCUUACCCAGAAACUGGCCCCUGCAAAACGCACUUGCCACCCGAUUCCAUGCUUGUCUCCCUCACUAGGUCCGUCUGCCCACCCUCCCGGCUUCCCGUCCGCAGGGUGAGGUAUUCAGCACCUCGGUAAUCACCCCCAUCUUUGGCCAGUUCAUAAAUGUAGUGGCCCAGCUAUUCUCAGUAACAAGUGAUCUAUGGGAGUUUACUCUGAACUGAGCUGCAGCCUGAUACCUGGAGUAUUCCUAUUUUUACAUCUUUAUCACCUCGCAAAUUUAUAAUCUAGAACAGAACGGUACCUGUCACCCUGCAGUUUCCUAGAUUUCUUAUCAAAAGAUUUUGCUAUCAAAACUCUUUCAGAAUAUAAACAAGCUGCUUCUGGCCCUGUGUGGGUUUAUGGGGCACAGAAAGCCCCGGUUGACCUGAAGCUGAUCUGUUCUGAAGGAAAACAUCACGGGCCAUCACCUGAGGAAGCCUGGACCAAGACUGGUGCAUGUGUAGCAAUAAUAUCACUGCCUUGUUCUCCUGUGGUGAUGUUAUGGGCCCCAGUCUCAAGGGACAAACCCAGGAUCAGAAAGGGGAUCUCCUGAAUCAAAGCCGUGAGUUGCUAUAGCUUGAUCAAGGGCUAGAACUAGGGGUGGAAGAAACUCAUUUUUUUCGUAAACUCUGCAAACAGAGCAGGACCUCUAGCAAAUGUUGAUCAGUGGUUUACCAUAUCCCUAAGACAUGGGCAUAAGGGGAUGCUGCUAUUAAGUGAGAGUAAUGACAGCAAAUGUUCCCUCCGCAGCAACGUUGGCUUCCAGCGCCUCCGUAAUCCUGCCCAGCCCUGCAUGGUGUCCACUGCCCUGCAGCUGUGCUGGUGCGACUGCUUCCAGGGCUGAAGUGUAAACUCUGUCUCUGCAAUGGUCUGGGUUAGAGACGAUGCAGUAAUGGUCUGCUUUACGGUUGUGGAGAAUUGUAUUGGCAUGCCCAAGGGGAUGCUGAACUGCAGCGCAGGAGCAGGAGGGAACAGCCGCAGUGGGGGGAGGAAGGACCCUUUCUCAGCGGUCUCGCUGCUGAAGCCAGCGCGUCGCAUCCCAUACAGCCUUAGAGGAUAAAUUGUCAUAUAUUCUGAAUCGAGCGCUUAUUGUGUCCGAGGUUGUGCUCCAGAGUGCAUAUUUAAGCUAAGCGUCUGCCAAAUGUCUACUGACAUAGGCUUAAGUUUCCCUUUCACUGUGCUUUGUUGAGUAGGAGUGGACUCGAGUAGAAAUUUUGUGUUAUGUCAAAUUGGAACAAAAUGAAAACCACCUGACGCCCUGGUCUCUUCAGGCAUCUUCUAGGUAUGACAUUUGGGUAUGGCUGCCCAACCCUAAAUGUUGUGAGUAUAACUCAGUCUUUCUUCUUACAGUGCCUUUGGGUUGAAGAAAGUAUUUUAAUAUCCAUGCACCUCUAAUAAACUAAAGCUGUAACGA